UACGGAGGAUCAAAGCGUUGUCCGGAAUUAUUGGGUUUAAAGGGUCCGCAGGCGGGAUAUUAAGUCAGUGGUGCAAGGCUGUCGCUUAACGAUAGCACUGCUAUUGAUACUGGUAUUCUUGAGUAUAGUUGAGGUGGGCGGAAUAAGUCAUGUAGCGGUGAAAUGCAUAGAUAUGACUUAGAACACCGAUUGCGAAGGCAGCUCACUAAGCUAUUACUGACGCUCAGGGACGAAAGCGUGGGUAGCAAACAGG
rnacentral:misc_RNA from 1 species